rnacentral:rRNA from 1 species
UACGAAGGGGGCUAGCGUUGUUCGGAAUUACUGGGCGUAAAGCGCACGUAGGCGGACGAGUCAGUCGGGGGUGAAAUCCCGGGGCUCAACCUCGGAACUGCCUCCGAAACUGGCGGUCUUGAGUCGGGGAGAGGUGGGUGGAAUUCCGAGUGUAGAGGUGAAAUUCGUAGAUAUUAGGAGGAACACCAGUGGCGAAGGCGACUCGCUGGCCCGGUACUGACGCUGAUAUGCGAAAGCGUGGGGAGCAAACAGG